GAUGAACGCUGGCGGCGUGCCUAAUACAUGCAAGUCGAGCGAACAGAUGAGUAGCUUGCUCCUCUGACGUUAGCGGCGGACGUGUGAGUUACACGUGGAUAACCUCCCUAUUAGACUGUGAUAACUUCGGGAAACCGUAGCUAAUACCUGCUAAUAUCUUGAACCGCAUGGUUCAAUAGUGAACGACGGUUUUGCUGUCACUUAUUGAUUGAUCCGCGCCGGAUUAGCUAGUUGGUGAGGUAACGGCUUACCAAGGCAACGAUCAGUAGCCGACCUGAGAGGGUGAUCAGCCACACUGGAACUGAGACACGGCCCAGACUCCUACGGGAGGCAGCAGUAGGGAAUCUUCCGCAAUGGGCGAAAGCCUGACGGAGCAACGCCGCGUGAGUGAUGAAGGUCUUCGGAUCGUAAAACUCUGUUAUUAGGGAAGAAAACAUGUGUAAGUAACUAGGCACGGCUUGACGGUACCUAAUCAGAAAGCAACGGCUAACUACGUG
rnacentral:rRNA from 1 species